GCUUUUAAAGGAUAACUAGUCAUCCAUUGUCUUAGGAACCAAAGCCUCAAAGGGCACAUCCAAGUAAAAGCU
rnacentral:tRNA from 1 species